GGCAAUAUGGCAAAGUGGUUUGAGUUUUGGACUACAAUUCUGGAGACCAGGGUUCAAAUCCCUCCUUGGCCC